CGGUAGGUAAACUCUGAUAAGCCCGAGAGGGGAAAGUGGAAGGCAGCCUUGGGAUGGACCUACUAUCCAUCAGGUAGUUGGUGAGGUAAAGGCUUACCAAGCCGAUGACGGAUAACCGGUGUGAGAGCAUGUACGGUCACAAGGGCACUGAGACACGGGCCCUACUCCUACGGGAGGCAGCAGUGGGGAAUAUUGGACAAUGGGCGAAAGCCUGAUCCAGCGACGCCGCGUGAAGGAAGAAGUCCUUCGGGAUGUAAACUUCUGAACUAAUCGAAUAAAAGGGUAGUGGACACACUACAGAAGAAGGUAGAUUAGGAAAAGUCCCGGCUAACUACGUGCCAGCAGCCGCGGUAAGACGUAGGGGGCGAGCGUUGCCCGGAAUCACUGGGUGUAAAGGGGACGUAGGCGGAUGAUCAAGUCAUCUGUGAAAAGAUUGCUCAACGAUUGGCUUGCGGAUGAAACUGGUCAUCUUGGGCGUAGCAGAGGUAGACGGAAUUACCUGAGUAGGGGUGAAAUCCGCAGAUACAGGUAAGAAGGCCGGUGAAGAAGUUGGUCUACUGGGCUACAGCUGACGCUGAGGUCCGAAAGCCAGGGGAGCGAACCGGAUUAGAUACCCGGGUAGUCCUGGCUGUAAACGAUGCUCACUAGGUGUAGGGAGCGAAAGACUCUCUGUGCUGAAGCGAACGCGCUAAGUGAGCCACCUGGGGAGUACGUCCGCAAGGAUGAAACUCAAAGGAAUGACGGGGGUCCGCACAAGCGGUGGAGCAUGUGGUUUAAUUCGAAGCUAACCGAAGAACCUUAC
rnacentral:rRNA from 1 species